CAGAGUUCAUUACACAAACCAUCAACAUUACCUUCAUUCAACAUGCUCUCAUUGGACUGUUAUGGACUUUCUCUACUGUUUGUCACUAUUCUAACAGGUGUCAGCUGUGGAAAACUCACUCCAGUCAAGAAUGAAGAGUCCAGUUUAGAAGACAGCACUGUUACUCUGUCCUACAAAUACUCUGAAAAACCAACUGGUACUGAUUAUUUCUUCUGGUAUCGACAAUAUCCAGGAAAACCACCAGAGUUCAUCGUCUCACAAACUCUUAAAGUGAGUGGACUGAAGAUUGAAGUGGAUCAGAACCAGAACCAAAUCCAUCUGAACAUCUCCUCUGCUGCAGUGUCACACUCUGCUGUGUACUACUGUGCUCUGCAGCCCACAGUGACAGGAAACACCUAAACUCUGUACAAAAACCUUUGGAGCAAAGACAACACAAUACUCCACAACGUCCACUAGAGGGAGUCA